CCUACGGGAGGCAGCAGUGGGGAAUAUUGCACAAUGGGGGAAACCCUGAUGCAGCGACGCCGCGUGAGCGAUGAAGUAUUUCGGUAUGUAAAGCUCUAUCAGCAGGGAAGAAGAUGACGGUACCUGACUAAGAAGCCCCGGCCAACUACGUGCCAGCAGCCGCGGUAAUACGUCGGGGGCAAGCGUUAUCCGGAUUUACUGGGUGUAAAGGGAGCGUAGCCGGCGAUGCAAGCCAGAUGGGAAAGCCCGGGGCUCAACCCCGGGACUGCAUUUGGAACUGGGUGGCUGGAGUGUAGGAGAGGCAGGCGGAAUUCCUAGUGUAGCGGUGAAAUGCGUAGAUAUUAGGAGGAACACCAGUGGCGAAGGCGGCAUGCUGGACGAUGACUGACGUUGAGGCACGAAAGCGUGGGGAGCAAACAGGAUUAGAUACCCGGGUAGUC
rnacentral:rRNA from 1 species